rnacentral:rRNA from 1 species
UACAGAGGUCCCAAGCGUUGUUCGGAUUUACUGGGCGUAAAGGGUGCGUAGGUGGCGAGGUAAGUUCGAUGUGAAAUCUCCGAGCUCAACUCGGAAAUGGCAUUGAAUACUAUCCCGCUUGAGGGUCGGAGGGGAGACUGGAAUUCUCGGUGUAGCAGUGAAAUGCGUAGAUAUCGAGAGGAACACCAGUGGCGAAGGCGGGUCUCUGGGCCGAUACUGACGCUGAGGAGCGAAAGCGUGGGGAGCGAACAGG